rnacentral:rRNA from 1 species
UACGUAGGGGGCCAGCGUUGUCCGGACUUACUGGGCGUAAAGCGCGCGCAGGCGGACUCGUAUGUGCCGUGUGAAAGCGCCGGACUUCCUCCGGCGAGGUCAUGGUAGACAGCGGGUCUUGAGGCUCAGAGAGGUCGGUGGAAUUCCGGGUGUAGUGGUGAAAUGCGUAGAGAUCCGGAGGAACACCAGUGGCGAAGGCGACACGCUGGGCCGUACCUGACGCUAAAACGCGACAGCAUGGGGAGCGAACGGG